rnacentral:rRNA from 1 species
GGAUUCCCCUAGUAGCGGCGAGCGAAGCGGGAUGAGCCCAGAUUUGAAAGCUCCCUUGCGGGCGCAUUGUAAGCUGGAGACGUGCCUCGUGCGGUGCGGCUGGACGCCAAGUCUGCUGGAAAGCAGCAUCAGAGAGGGUGAGAAUCCCGUGCUUGGUCUGGCCUGGUGCCGUGUUGUGGGGUGCGCUCGACGAGUCGCGUUGUUUGGGAAUGCAGCGCAAAGAGGGGUGGUAAAGGCCAUCCAAGGCUAAAUAUGGGGGAGAGACCGAUAGCGAACAAGUACCGUGAGGGAAAGAUGAAAAGCACUUUGGAAAGAGAGUUAAAGAGUACGUGAAAUUGCCAAAAGGGAAGCGUUGGAAGUCAGUGCCGGAGCGGCGCCUCGUCUGCCCCCUCUCGGGGGGUGUACUGUGGCGGCGUGGGGCCCAUGUCGGUUGCGUGUGGGGGAGAAGGCGGCGCGGAAGGUGGCUUUCCCUCUGGGGGGAGUGUUAUAGCCGCGCUGUGGAUGCCCCGCAUGCGACCGAGGACUGCUGUUGAGUGGACAUGGGCUUAAUGGCUUUCAGCGGCCCGUCUUGA